rnacentral:rRNA from 1 species
CAGCAGCCGCGGUAAUACGUAGGUGGCAAGCGUUGUCCGGAAUUAUUGGGCGUAAAGGGCUCGCAGGCGGUUUCUUAAGUCAGAUGUGAAAGCCCCCGGCUCAACCGGGGAGGGUCAUUGGAAACUGGGAAACUUGAGUGCAGAAGAGGAGAGUGGAAUUCCACGUGUAGCGGUGAAAUGCGUAGAGAUGUGGAGGAACACCAGUGGCGAAGGCGACUCUCUGGUCUGUAACUGACGCUGAGGAGCGAAAGCGUGGGGAGGGAGCAGGAUUAGAUACCCCCGUAGUCCCUGUCUCUUAUAC